rnacentral:rRNA from 1 species
AUUGAACGCUGGCGGAAUGCUUUACACAUGCAAGUCGAACGGCAGCACGGGGCAACCUGGUGGCGAGUGGCGAACGGGUGAGUAAUAUAUCGGAACGUGCCCAAUCGUGGGGGAUAACGUAGCGAAAGUUACGCUAAUACCGCAUACGAUCUACGGAUGAAAGCGGGGGAUCGCAAGACCUCGCGCGAAUGGAGCGGCCGAUAUCAGAUUAGGUAGUUGGUGGGGUAAAGGCUCACCAAGCCAACGAUCUGUAGCUGGUCUGAGAGGACGACCAGCCACACUGGAACUGAGACACGGUCCAGACUCCUACGGGAGGCAGCAGUGGGGAAUUUUGGACAAUGGGCGCAAGCCUGAUCCAGCCAUUCCGCGUGCAGGAUGAAGGCCUUCGGGUUGUAAACUGCUUUGUACGGUACGAAACGGUCUGCCCUAAUACGGCAGGCUAAUGACGGUACCGUAAGAAUAAGCACCGGCUAACUACGUGCCAGCAGCCGCGGUAAACACG